rnacentral:rRNA from 1 species
AUGCACCGAUUAAAGGCCGGCGAGAAUGUGCUUACAAGGGUGAGGCAAGAGAAAAAUAAUCUCCAAGAUGCCAACACCCAGCUGGGUGAGGAACUAAAGGAUGUUCGUGGCCAGCUGUCUGACUCCGUUAAGGAGAAUCGGCGGCUUCGACGCGUCAUUUUUAGUAAGUGCUUAAACGAACUUUUGAAAAAAAAAUCGGCGAGGAAGUCGACUAACAGAGUUAUAUCUGUAGGUAUGCUCACAGGCCGUCCUGCAGAGGAAAUGCCCGGUUCUACGGGUGACCUUCUUCCCGAGCUCUUACAACUGCACGAACGAGUUCGACAGGUGAUGAAAGGCGUCGCCCAGGCCUUGUGGCCAUCUCUCUCCCCGCCCGAAGGCCUUGGAGAGCUUGCAGAGAGGCUUCAGGGAGCACGGCGGCGCUUCCGAUUAUGGAAGAUAUUGGCCUGCCGUCAGGGCGCCAGGGAAGCCUGGGCCAUGGUGAAGACGCGGUACACGAAGGCUGUCCCAAAUCACAUGGCCGAGGUCGGACCUGCGAGGCCCGAUGGGAAGGAGAUUCCCGUGAGCUUAGUGUACGACCAAGUAGAGUUGGCCGCAAAGUAUUCCCAGCAGGACUGUAAACUAGACAACCUAUUAGAUGGUAUUGAAGAGGAAUACAAUCAGUCGGAUUGA